CACGAUGUAGAGCAACCUAGACCUCUGAUAUCAAAUUUUCACGACCCAAUUUUUCUAAGUCAUGAUGGCACCUACUAUACCCCACUAGUAGGUAAGCCUAACCCUUAACUUAGAGCCACAAGCAAAGGACUACAAAGUAGAAGUCAAAAACUAGAGAAUAAAACCUACAACAAGAGAAUAAAUGGUAAUCAAUUGAAAUACAAGACAAGGAACAAUCCCAAGCCUUCAUGUUUUUGUUAUUGGUU
rnacentral:lncRNA from 1 species